rnacentral:rRNA from 1 species
AGUGAACGCUGGCGGUAGGCCUAACACAUGCAAGUCGAACGGCAGCACAGUAAGAGCUUGCUCUUACGGGUGGCGAGUGGCGGACGGGUGAGGAAUACAUCGGAAUCUACUUUUUCGUGGGGGAUAACGUAGGGAAACUUACGCUAAUACCGCAUACGACCUACGGGUGAAAGCAGGGGAUCUUCGGACCUUGCGCGAUUGAAUGAGCCGAUGUCGGAUUAGCUAGUUGGCGGGGUAAAGGCCCACCAAGGCGACGAUCCGUAGCUGGUCUGAGAGGAUGAUUAGCCACACUUGAACUGAGACACGGUCCAGACUCCUAAGGGAGGCAGCAGUGGGGAAUAUUGGACAAUGGGCGCAAGCCUGAUCCAGCCAUACCGGGGGGGGGAAGAAGGCCUUCGGGUUGUAAAGCCCUUUUGUUGGGAAAGAAAAGCAGCAGGUUAAUACCCCGCUGUUCUGACGGUACCCAAAGAAUAAGCACCGGCUAACUUCGUG